rnacentral:rRNA from 1 species
UACGGAGGGUGCGAGCGUUGUCCGGAAUCAUUGGGCGUAAAGGGCGCGUAGGUGGCCCGGCAAGCGUGCGGUGAAAGUCGGGGGCUCAACCCUGCGUCGGCCAUGAAUACUGCCGCGGCUGGAGCACUGUAGAGGCAGGCGGAAUUCCGGGUGUAGCGGUGGAAUGCGUAGAGAUGUGGAGGAACACCGAUGGCGAAGGCAGCCUCCUGGGCCAACACUGACGCUCAUGCACGAAAGCGUGGGGAGCAAACAGG